GACGAACGCUGGCGGCGUGCUUAACACAUGCAAGUCGAACGGAAAGGCCCUGCUUUUGUGGGGUGCUCGAGUGGCGAACGGGUGAGUAACACGUGAGUAACCUGCCCUUGACUUUGGGAUAACUUCAGGAAACUGGGGCUAAUACCGGAUAGGAUCUCCUGCUUCAUGGUGGGGGUUGGAAAGUUUCGGCGGUUGGGGAUGGACACGCGGCUUAUCAGCUUGUUGGUGGGGUAGUGGCUUACCAAGGCUUUGACGGGUAGCCGGCCUGAGAGGGUGACCGGCCACAUUGGGACUGAGAUACGGCCCGGACUCCUACGGGAGGCAGCAGUGGGGAAUAGUGCACAAUGGGCGGAAGCCUGAUGCAGCAACGCCGCGUGCGGGAUGACGGCCUUCGGGUUGUAAACCGCUUUCGCCUGUGACGAAGCGUGAGUGACGGUAAUGGGUAAAGAAGCACCGGCUAACUACGUG
rnacentral:rRNA from 1 species